rnacentral:rRNA from 1 species
UACGUAGGGUGCGAGCGUUGUCCGGAAUUAUUGGGCGUAAAGAGCUCGUAGGCGGUUUGUCGCGUCUGCUGUGAAAACUCGGGGCUCAACUCCGAGCUUGCAGUGGGUACGGGCAGACUAGAGUGCGGUAGGGGAGACUGGAAUUCCUGGUGUAGCGGUGGAAUGCGCAGAUAUCAGGAGGAACACCGGUGGCGAAGGCGGGUCUCUGGGCCGUAACUGACGCUGAGGAGCGAAAGCAUGGGGAGCGAAC